rnacentral:rRNA from 1 species
UACGGAGGGUGCAAGCGUUGCUCGGAAUUAUUGGGCGUAAAGGGCAGGUAGGUGGUCUCAUUUGUCUAGGGUGAAAGCCUCGAGCUUAACUCGAGAAGUGCCCUAGAAACGGUGAGACUAGAGUUCUGGAGAGGGUCGUGGAAUUCCCGGUGUAGCGGUGAAAUGCGUAGAGAUCGUAAGGAAGACCAGUGGCGAAGGCGGGUCUCUGGACAGUUCCUGACACUGAGGCACGAAGGCCAGGGGAGCAAACGGG